CAUUAAUGAUUAUGAAUCGUCACCUCCUGUGCUGGCCGCCCUUGGCAAGUGCACGUUGGUGGCUUUCAUCCAAUACCCCUGUGAACCUUUGGCCUCUUGUUGGCUUCGGCUGGCAGAGGAUUUUUUACAUACACACUCGAAUGUAAUGAAAGCCCUUAUUGUGCGCAAGCACUAAUGUACAACUUUCAACAACGGAUCUCUUGGCUCUCGCAUCGAUGAAGAACGCAGCGAAAUGCGAUAAGUAAUGUGAAUUGCAGAAUUCAGUGAAUCAUCGAACCUUUGAACGCACCUUGCACCCUUUGGCAUUCCGAAGGGUAUGCUCGUUUGAGUGUCAUUGUACUCUCACACUCUCUAAUUCGGAUUCGGAUUGGGAGCGGUGGACUUGGGUGUUGCCGCUUCACUGUGGCUCGCCUCAAAUGUGUUAGUGCAACUGUUGAUUAGACAUAGUACGGCGUGAUAAGUGUCUUCGCCGGCACCUCGCAAGAGGGUGGCUAAUCGGGAGCUCUGUGCUUCAAACUGUCUUUGGACAAUCCUUGACAACUUGACCUCAAAUCGAGUAGGACUACCCGCUGAACUUAAGCAUAUCAAUAAGCGGAGGAA
rnacentral:rRNA from 1 species